CUCUCUCAGUUUCUUAUGUACUUAGAGAUCUCAAGGUUUUAUUUUGGCUAGUAUAUAAAGCAUUUUCCAGAUCAAUUCUCCAUUCUAUCAAUCUCUUCUCACCCACGAUCUCCCAUCCAUCUCAACUCUACCAAUUUCUUAUGUAUUUAGAGAUCUCAAGGUUUUAUUUUGGCUAGUGGAUAAAGCGUUUUCCUGAUCAAUUCUCCAUUCGAUCAAUCUCUUCUCAACCACGAUCUCCCAUCCAUCUCAACUCUCUCAGUUUCUUAUGUAUUUAGAGAUCUCAAGGUUUUAUUUUGGCUAGUAGAUAAAGCAUUUUCCAGAUCAAUUCUCCAUUCGAUCAAUCUCUUCUCAACCACGAUCUCCCAUCUAUCUCAACUCUACCAAUUUCUUAUGUAUUUAGAGAUCUCAAGGUUUUAUUUUGGCUAGUGGAUAAAGCGUUUUCCAGAUCAAUUCUCCAUUCUAUCAAUCUCUUCUCACCCACGAUCUCCCAUCCAUCUCAACUCUACCAAUUUCUUAUGUAUUUAGAGAUCUCAAGGUUUUAUUUUGGCUAGUGGAUAAAGUGUUUUCCAGAUCAAUUCUCCAUUCGAUCAAUCUCUUCUCACCCACGAUCUCCCAUCCAUCUCAACUCUCUCAAUUUCUUAUGUAUUUAGAGAUCUCAAGGUUUUAUUUUGGCUAGUAGAUGAAGCAUUUUCCUGAUCAAUUCUCCAUUCUAUCCAUCUCUUCUCAACCAUGAUCUCCCAUCCAUCUCAACUCUCUCAAUUUCUUAUGUAUUUAGAGAUCUCGAGGUUUUAUUUUGGCUAGUGGAUAAAGCGUUUUCCAGAUCAAUUCUCCAUUCUAUCAAUCUCUUCUCAACCACGAUCUCCCAUCCAUCUCAACUCUACCAAUUUCUUAUGUGUUUUUAGAUCUCAAGGUUUUAUUUUGGCUAGUGGAUAAAGCGUUUUCCAGAUCAAUUCUCCAUUCGAUCAAUCUCUUCUCACCCACGAUCUCCCAUCCAUCUCAACUCUACCAAUUUCUUAUGUAUUUAGAGAUCUCAAGGUUUUAUUUUGGCUAGUAGAUGAAGCAUUUUCCUGAUCAAUUCUCCAUUCUAUCAAUCUCUUCUCAACCACGAUCUCCCAUCUAUCUCAACUCUACCAAUUUCUUAUGUAUUUAGAGAUCUCAAGGUUUUAUUUUGGCUAGUAGAUAAAGCAUUUUCCUGAUCAAUUCUCCAUUCUUUCAAUCUCUUCUCAACCACGAUCUCCCAUCCAUCUCAACUCUACCAAUAUCUUAUGUAUUUAGCAAUCUAGAGGCUUUGUUUUGGUCAGUAUAUAAAGCAUUUUCUGGGUCAAUUCUCCAUUCUAUCAAUCUAUUGUCAGCCAUGAUCUCCUAUUCUCCUCAACCUUAGGAAUCUCUCAUGUAUGUAAAGAUGGGGAAGGUUGAAUCGGUCAGUAAUCGCAUUUUCCGGAUCAAUUCUCCGCUCCAUCAAUCUCUUCUCAGCCAUGAUCUCCCAUCCACGUAAACCAUAGCAAUCUCUUAUGUAUACCUCAACUAUCACUGGGAUCACAAAACAGUCCAUGAAAACCCACACAACUUCUACGAGAGGCUUUUCAAACAGGCGAACUGAGGGACCGAGGCGUUUAAUGAUACAGACACAGAAGAUUAACCGGGUCUUUAAGGGUGUUUUUCACGUUCAAGGUCCAGAAGUCGUGUAAAACUAUCACUGUGAUCACAAAACAGUCCAUGGAAUCCCACGCAACUUCUAUGAGAGGCUUUUCGAUUAGAUGGACUGAGUGGCCGAGACGUUUAAUAAUGGGUGUUUUUCUCCAUUCAAGGUCCAGAAGUCAUGCAAAACUAUCACCAGGGUCACAAAACAGCCCAUGAAAACCCAUGCAGCUUCUAUGAGAGGCUUUUCGAUUAGAUGGACUGAGUGGCCGAGACGUUUAAUAAUGGGUGUUUUUCUCCGUUCAAGGUGCAGAAGUCGUGUAAAACUAUCACCAGGGUCACAAAACAGCCCAUGAAAACCCAUGCAGCUUCUACGAGAGGCUUUUCAAAUAGGCAAACUGAGGGGCCGAGACGUUUAGUAAUACGGACUUAGGUCAUACUAGGACAAAAGACUAAAGAACAAUCAUUUUAGUAGUUGUGGCUGGCCUGUCGUGUGUUCUUAUUUAGCGUGUCUGUGUGUGGGUGUGAAUCAGGCUGACAACGCUAGCAGGCUACUUAUUAUUUUAGCUAACUCACCAUUAUUCAGGGUUUUAUUGGUGGUAUUUAUAUUAGAGCAAUUCAUAGUACAGUCAUCCCUCAAAUAGUACAGUUUCCAAUAGUUCGGUUUCAGUUUUAUACGGAUUGUCAUGGAAGAAUUUUUUAGGAUUUUUAAAUUUCCCGCUCGUUGCACCAAGUAGCCAUGGCGUGAGUGGCAAUGUUGGUGUUAGCGAGUGUUCUAAGUGCUAAUCAGUUCACGGAUAGAGAAAGUCAUAUCCGCCAGGGUUACUUUAUUGGACAAAAAUCACAUAGGUCAUUACAACAAGGACAACACAUAGGAUAGGUGUUUGUUUGUGUAUGCGUUUGUGUGAAUGUUGUUUGUGUAGGUUAACAUUUAAGUGUGGGUGUAUGUGUAGAACAAUGUGUACGAAUGGACGACAAGAGGACAUGGACGGACAGUAGAAGAUAAACAAAUAACAAGAGAUAAACAAUUAGACACACAAGAAACAGCGAGACGGGAGCAUGAACGAAAACAUUGACACAAAGUAAAAAUGAAUAUAGAGUCUAUGCUGCAAUGCCCCAUUUUCUUAUUGUCACUGAGGGGAAGGAACACGGAAUUUGAGCGGUGACUGCUACAGCAACACUUCUACCAAAACACCUGCAGGUCCCAAACGCCCGUACUAUUUGAGGGACGACUUACUGGUGUAGUUAGUGGUUGCUCUGUAGUAUGACCUAAUCCAUGCUGCUUGUGUGUUGGACGGACGCUAACAAACUCGGCACUUGCAGUCUUUUUCUUUCAUAUAUUUGAUCUGUUUGAAGGUUUUUUGAAUCCGUUCAUUGAUGAUUUUUAGUCGCUUCCUGCUGAUUUGAUCUAAGUGUGGGUCUGUUGAUGUAUUGCUUAAUGAAACACUUCUUUGGUUGCUCAUUUCAUUGAUCUUUUUGAGGAUUUUGGUUGGUAUUAUCAGACACUCACUUCUCACAUCAGCUAUUUCUAAAGUUCAAAGAGGGGGUCAGUCAGGUUCUAAUGAGUGUCCCUUCAAGUUCAUGUUACAGAAGAAGGGUCAAACUACCACCAGGGUCUUAAUACUACUCCUGGAAAUGCCCACAACGCCUACGAAAGCCUUGUCAAAUAUGUGUUCUUGGGCGAUGAAAUGUUUUAUAAUACGACGCUUAGAGCAGAUUUCACAGUCCGUCACAGUGGCUUUGUAAUCACCCGAACCAAACUAUUUGAUCUUCUACACUCCAUGAUGGUUAGGUUUUCAAUACAAGACUGGAUACACAAAGGAUUUUCUGUAUGGUCUCCUCAAAUUUCUUAACUUAAACAUGAACACAUUUUUUUAUUAUUGUUUCCUUUUUCUGUGCCCUUGAGCUGUCUCCUUUGUUGUAAAAAAAAAAAAUAUGACGGAAUUUUUGAAGUUCUUGGUAUUGGUUUGGAGGCUUAUUAACCCAUCAUGGCGAACUGUGAAAGUGGCCCAUAGUUUAGUCAGCUGAUUAGCCAAACACUUCUCUUUUCUCUAUUCCUGCUGUCUAAAACAAGUCUUGCCAUCUGCAGCAGCUUUGUUUCUUUCACAAUACUCUAUAAUCACAACAGCAAGAAGCAUUUGUCAUUAUCAUUUUGGCAAUCAUCAGGCAUUUAUAAAGUCAUUAAAAAGCUACACACACUUCUCUCCUGCAUCUUGUUAGAAAUCUGUGAGUCGGUCCGCUGCGAUUGGCUCAGAUUUGGCCUUCACUGGUAGCCUGGUAACAUGCACUCCCAGGUCUUUCUCUGCCUCUGUGGUGGAUAGUGGAGUGUUUCCCAUGUGGUAUUGGUAUGCUGGAUAUCCCCUCCCAAGGUGCAAGACUUUACAUUUCUCUUCAUUGAAUUGUAGCAGCCACUUUUUGCUCCACUCCUGUAGCUUGGUGAUGUUUUCUUGUAGGAAAUCCGCAGCCAAGGGGUUAAGAAAGGAAUUAGGGCGUUGCUGGGAUGAACUUUAGUUAGGUUUGGUAGCCUCAUUCAGACAGGUGGGCUUUGAUUAACCUUCUACCUUUUUCAUUACUAUUAUCAUUAUUACCUUUAUCUUCGCCAUUCAUGAUUAUCCAGAAGACUUCCUCGUCGAGAACAUAUCAGUGUUAUAGUGAUUUAGAAGUGAUGAACAUACUGAUAAAUUUUAGGUGCACAAAUCAGUUAUGCUUAGUAUGUAGUCAGGGAAGUAGUCAAGUAUUUUUUAUCACUCCCUCGAUAGAUACGAGAAUCCAACAAUUGUGAUAAACUGAAUAAAUUGGUCGUGGUUAAGAUUGUUUAUAGAAGUGUUCCUUACAUUCCCUGCAAAGCUGAUCUCAUGUAAAAGUCAAGCUCGUGAAGACUAGAUGCUCUGAGGAAUGAAUUUGAUCCCCUUAGAAAUGUAGUAGAAGUAGUAGUAGCAGUAGUAGUAGUAGUAGUAGUAGUAGUAGUAGUAGUAAGCCCUCAGAAGAUGUGAAGACUUGAUGUUCUGAGGAAUGAACUUGAUCCCCUUAGAAAUGUAGUAGAAGUAGUAGUACCAGCAAUAGUAGUAGUAGUAGUAGUAGUAAGUCCUCAGAAAACGUGAAGACUUGAUGUUCUGAGGAAUGAAUUUAAUCCCCUUAGAAAUGUAGCAGAAGUAGUAGUAGUAGUAGUAGUAGUAGUAUCAAUAGUAGUAGUAGUAGUAGUUGUCCUCGUAGUAGCAGCAAGCCCUUAGAAAAGUAGAAUCCACAUAAACUCAAUCUCAUAAACUUUACCUUAAAAUAAUUAGUUAAAAAAUCCUCUUCUACACAAGUAUAGGAAGUAACUUGUUUGAAAAGACAAUGCCAGUACUCCUCAUGGGAAGGGACAAGUAGGAAGUGUAUUUUUAAACGUGCUUUUUGUGGCUGUAACCGUCGUGCCAACAUGAUAAAUUUACCCACGGCAGAACAUUUACCAUAAGGAGGUGUGCUGGCGAGUGCAUCGUAGGGAAACAAGUGUAGCAUAACAUAUUUUGUAAGCAUGGUUGUGGUCGCUAUAAGAUUCCAACAAGUGCAAAUUUAUUAACCCGGUAGCAGCGACGGGCCAAAUUUGUGGCUGUACCGUGUAGCAGUGACGGGCCAAAUUUGUGGCUGUACCGUGUAGCAGUGACGGGCCAAAUUUGUGGCUGUACCGUGUAGCAGCAACGGGCCAAAUUUGUGGCUGUACCGUGUAGCAGUGACGGGCCAAAUUUGUGGCUGUACCGUGUAGCAGCGACGGGCCAAAUUUGUGGCUGUACCGUGUAGCAGUGACGGGCCAAAUUUGUGGCUGUACCGUGUAGCAGUGACGGGCCAAAUUUGUGGCAUGAUAUAAAACCCCUAAAUUAGAUGAUGCAUAAACUGAUCACAAAUGCGUUGAUAUAUAUUAUGAAAUGGUUUGUGUGAGUGAUGAUUUUUUCUCAUUUUUCUCGCUUGGAGGGACCAUUAAGAAACAUGAUCCCUGCUGCUACCGGGUUAAAGGAAAGUUUGCUGUCAUGUUCAUAAGGAAGAAAGUGUCACGUGACAUCGCGUAACAUUUUAUAAGCCUGUUUCUGGUCGCUAUGAGAAUUUAACAGGUGCAAGAUUACUAAAGGAAAGUGUGCUGUUAGGUUUAUAGGGAAGAAAGCAUCACUACUAAAAGAAAGUGUGCUGUCAGGUUCACAGGUAAGAAAGCGUCACAUAACAUAGCGUAACAUUUUAAAGCAUGUUUCAGAUCGCUAUAAGAAUUUAACAGGGGCAUGAUUACUAAAAGAAAGUGUGCUGUCAGGUUCAUAGGAAAGAAAGCGUCAAGUAACAUUGCGUAACAUUUUAUAAGCAUGUUUCUGGUCGCUAUAAGAAUCAAAAAGUCGUAAUUUUGCGUAAAGGAAGUGUGCGUCGUUUGGAAGAAAGUGUAACAUGACAUAGCAUAACAUUUCCUAAGCCUGUUUUCAUGUUGCCAUAAGAAUCAAAAAGUCCGAAUUAUUUUGCAAGAAAGAAGAGUGCUGUAAGGUGCGUCAUAGGGAAUAAAGUGUAGUGUGACAUAUUCUCUAAGCGUGUGUCUGGUUGCUGUGAGAAUCUAACAGUCGGUGAUAACAUGAUCAAAUUAUGUGAUAGCCUGAGACGUUAAGAAGGAAUAUGGAGGUCUUAAAAGGCUACUACACUGGUCAAAUUUUCCGUGGAUCUUCAGUCAAACCACGAUUUCCGCUGGCGUGGUUCUCAUUUGUUUCUUGUUAUUGCUGCUGAUGAUGAUGGUGAGUAAUACCGUCAUCCUUCUGUGAAAUCUACCGUAGCUUUGGAAGAUCGUGGACACGUCAGAAAACAACGGAAAUAUAAGAACCACGCCAGCGGAAAUCGUGGUUUGACAAGAUCCACGGAAAAUUUGCCCAGUGUUAUAUCCCCUUUAAGCUUUGAGGUAUCUUUGUUGUGAUGGUAGAGUGCUUGCCUUGCAUCUCAGGAGCCUGGUUUUGAUUCCUUACGGUUUUAAUAUUUGCUAGAAGAAAAUGUAGUUAGGUUUGUAAUUGGAAAGAAGAUUAAACAUUACACUGUCUAUCAAAGUGUUGUGGUGGCAAUGAGUCUAACAGUCAUGGCAACUUUGAUCGGGUUAGUCGCAGUUAGAAUGUUUGAUAAAAGGAAAUGUACCAUGUUCUUACGUUCUUAUGUUCUUAUGUAUACGUAUAUUCGUGUAAAAGUCAGUAUUUUGUAAACAUCAACCCUCCCUCUGUUGGAAAAAAAUUAUCUUUAGUAGUAGAUUUUUAUUUUUAUUUUAUUUUUUUAUUUAUUUAUGUAUUUAUUUAUUUAUUUUAUUUAUUUUUUUUUUUUUUAUGUACUCUAAGAACUUCCAGUCACCCCUCAUGACAGUGGUGGCUUAACAAUGGACAUCCUUUCCCAUCCUUCCUUUCCUACCAGUGCGACAGGAAACAUAUGGCUUGCAUCUCUCAAAGGGGGUUAGACUUCACUGCCCUUUUUCAUAUAUUAAUUUUUUAAGGAAAGGGUUCAGCUCAAGGAUGCAAAAAAGAGGAAUCAAAAGAGGCCUACGAUGGUGCUGCUCCUUAGAGAGUGUGCAGAGGAGUAACAGGAAUAUUUAUGCACAGAGGAAUUAAUCUAACCCGGUAGCAGCGACAGGACAAAUUUGUGGCUUUACCGUGUACCAGCGACGGGCCAAAUUUGUGGCUUUAUGGUGUAUGUACAAUCGAUGGGCCAAAUUUGUGGCUUUACAGUGUACCAGCGACAGGCUAAAUUUAUGGCUUUAGUGUGAACCAGUGACGGGCCAAAUUUGUGGCUUUACAGUGUACCAGCAACAGGUUAAAUUUAUGGCUUUAGUGUGAACCAGUGACGGGGCAAAUUUGUGGUUUUACCAUGUACCAGCGCUGGGCUAAAUUUGUGGCUUUACCAUGUACCAGCGCUGGGCUAAAUUUGUGGCUUUACAGUGUACCAGUGACGGGCUAAAUUUGUGGCUUUACCAUGUACCAGCGAUGGGCUAAAUUUGUGGCUUUACAGUGUACCAGCAACGAGCCAAAUUUGUGGCUUUAGUGUGUACCAGUGACGGGCCAAAUUUGUGGCUUUACCAUGUACCAGCGAUGGGCUAAAUUUGUGGCUUUACCAUGUACCAGCGAUGGGCUAAAUUUGUGGCUUUACCAUGUACCAGCGAUGGGCUAAAUUUGUGGCUUUACCAUGUACCAGCGAUGGGCCAAAUUUUCGCCAUAAUAUAAACCCCAAAAAAUAGAUGAUGCAUAAACUGAUCACAAAUGCAUUGAUAUAUAUUAUUAUGAAAUGGUUUGUGUGAGUGAUGAUUUUUUCUCAUUUUUCUUGGUUAGAGGGACCUUUAAGAAACAUGAUCCCGCCAGCUACCGGGUUAAUACUUGGGCUUAUUAUUUUUUUCCAACAACUCACCCAGGCUUUGGAAAGAUGAGGCAGACUCUUGCACCAAGCCAAAUGGUAUCCCACUGCUUAAGACCUUUGUAUUCAUUACCAACAUGUCAGGCCAUCGCAAUUACUUAGGGUUUUAAUAUUUCCUAAUUGAUAAUGUAGUUAGGUUUGUAAUUGGAAAGAAAAUUUAGCAUUGCACUGUCUAUCAAAGUGUGUUUUGGUGCCAGUAAGUCUGACAGUCAAAUAGUUGUGAGUCAAAAGUGUCUGAGAAUGCUGGCCCUAGUAAUAUUUUUCUUAUGGUGGAAAAAAUGAUAAUAACAACCGUAGACAAAUUAGCCAAAGUUAGAAUCAUAGAGAAAAUUUCGUUAGAUUUGGCGUGAAAACGUGACCACAAGUUAUAUUAUCUAAGUGAAGAAAUGAUGAUGAUGAUAACCGUAGACAAAUUAGCCAAAGAUAAAAUGAUACAGAGAAAAUUUCGUUAGAUUUGUCGUGAAAACGUGACCACAAGUUAUAUUAUCUAAGUGAAGAAAUGAUGAUGAUGACAACCAUAGACAAAUUAGCCAAAGUUAGAAUCAUAGAGAAAAUUUCGUUAGAUUUGUUGUGAAAACGUGACCACAAGUUAUAUUAUCUAAGUGAAGAAAUGAUGAUGAUGACAACCAUAGACAAAUUCACCAAUGUUAGAAUGGUAAAGAAAAUUUCGUCAGAUUUGUCGUGGAGGUAACGUGACCACAAGUUGUAUUAUCUAAGUGUUCUUGUGGCAAUUCAUAUACGGGACGAGGAGGAGGAAGAGGGAGGACGCACAAUCCAUGUUCAUACAAUUGUUAUCACAUUCACAAAGUCUCCCAGGCCUCUCCUCAUCACCAGGUUGUCAGCCGCCACACCAGAGUCGCCUCCCCUCAUGGUGGUGUGCGUGUGGUGCCGGCAACACUCAAGCACAGGUUGUGGUAUUAUUGUUAACUUGUCCUCUCGUUCAUGUACUUAAGUAGCCAGGGAGAGGCAUGGAAAUGAAGAAUGAUGGAAGGAAGGUGGACGGUGAUCAAUAAACUUUGUGAUUGUU